GGGGGCGAAAAGGGUUCGACUCGUGUAAGGAAACCAAAGUUGCAUACGGAGGUUGCCAGGUGGCCUCCUAAAAAACCUGGCGCUUACCACAAACGCAAACGAAACGUUUGCACUGGCUGCGUAAUUGCGGCCACGUCAUCCGGGUUUCUUCCUGCGGGACCCGGAAUGGCGCCGGUUAGCAGGAUAGGGACCGGCUCUUGCUUCGGGGGCCGGGACCGAAUCCUUUCGAAGAUAGCCAAGGAGGAAUCCCCUCGGACGGAGUCCCCUGCGGCGAACCCUCAAAAGUCCGGGUAAGUAUGUAGACGCUUUGGUGGACCUACUCGAGGACGCGGGUUCGAUUCCCGCCGCCUCCAAAA
rnacentral:tmRNA from 1 species